UUGUCAGGGAAGAACAAGUACGAUAGUAACUGAUCGUACCUUGACGGUACCUGACCAGAAAGCCACGGCUAACUACGUGCCAGCAGCCGCGGUAAUACGUAGGUGGCAAGCGUUGUCCGGAAUUAUUGGGCGUAAAGCGCUCGCAGGCGGUUCUUUAAGUCUGAUGUGAAAUCUUGCGGCUCAACCGCAAACGUGCAUUGGAAACUGGAGGACUUGAGUGCAGAAGAGGAGAGUGGAAUUCCACGUGUAGCGGUGAAAUGCGUAGAGAUGUGGAGGAACACCAGUGGCGAAGGCGACUCUCUGGUCUGUAACUGACGCUGAGGAGCGAAAGCGUGGGGAGCGAACAGGAUUAGAUACCCUGGUAGUCCACGCCGUAAACGAUGAGUGCUAGGUGUUAGGGGGUUUCCGCCCCUUAGUGCUGAAGUUAACGCAUUAAGCACUCCGCCUGGGGAGUACGGCCGCAAGGCUGAAAUCAA
rnacentral:rRNA from 1 species